UUGACCUCGGAUCAGGUAGGGAUACCCGCUGAACUUAAGCAUAUUAAUAAGCGG
rnacentral:rRNA from 1 species